rnacentral:lncRNA from 1 species
GUAGUAAGGCUGGCUUACUAUGCUGAAAGAUCCGCGUUCAAAUCCUGAACCCUUCCUGGAAACUCUAUUCCUGAAGGGUUCAAGCCCGAAACUCCUGAAAACUCUAUUCUUUAAUCUUCUGAUUGACUUCAUCAUUGAUAUUGUCCAGCUUAUAGUGAGCUCUAAAAGUGUCCGCCACUACAUACAAAAUAUCUCUUGUGAAAUAUGGCAGCUUAACAUAGCCAACCCAACCAGGCCCGGCUCGUUGAAUGCCAUCGUUCAACUCCUGUUUCUUCUCUUCCACUAGUGACCCAGUCCACUUCUUCAGACUGGGAUUCUUCCUUUCUUACGUUUCUCUCUUGGCUAUACUUUAAUGAAGCCCUUGUUCAAAACGAAACCUUCCUGUUGACCCCAUCAUGACUGUUAGCCAACUAGUGAUGAUCUCUACAAGUAGUGACAGCUAGAUAAUGUACAGUAUAUCCCUUGUGCGAUAUGGCGGCUUAACUACAUUAAAAAAAAAUCUUAAAUUAUUCCGAUUUUU